UGCGGACACGCCUGUGCCUUAUGUAAACCCGCGGGGGCGGUGGGCGCUCCCGCUCGGCGGUCCCCGGAGCUCCGUCACCGGCGGCGCGGAGAGAGAGAGAUCUCGAGAGCCAGAGCGAGCGAGGAGGAUGCGGGCGGCGGAGCGGCGGGCGGAUGCGGAGCGCGGCCCCGCGGCGGAGGGAGUCGGGAACCGCCGGCAGCGGGGCCGUCCCGGAGGGCAGGCGGCCCCAUAAGCGCGACCGAAGGAGGAUGGAGCCAGAAGCGGCUCGGGCUGACACGUGCGGCCGCGACUAGGGCCACCCCCGUCCCCUCCCUCCCUCCUCCCCUCCCCACGAUGCUGCACUCCCGCCGGCUCUUGCAGCGCGUUCGACGCGCGGCGGCGAUGGAGCCGAGCGGGCGGCUGUGAGGCGCGGCGCGCAGCAUGGCCUCGGCGGACGGCGCGGCGCAGCACCGUUGCCCCGGGGCGGAGCGGGCGGCGGCGGCGCGGUGCCGCAGCCUGCCGGCAAUCG
rnacentral:lncRNA from 1 species